rfam:Glycine max cultivar PI 437654 chloroplast, complete genome.
AGGAGCCGUAUGAGAUGAAAAUCUCACGUACGGUUCUGGAGCGGAGAUUCUUUGAACCGAAUGACGACCGUAAC